CACGUAGGGGGCGAGCGUUGUCCGGAUUUAUUGGGCGUAAAGAGCUCGUAGGCGGUCUGUCGCGUCUGCUGUGAAAACUCGGGGCUUAACCCCGGGCCUGCAGUGGGUACGGGCAGACUAGAGUGCGGUAGGGGAGACUGGAAUUCCUGGUGUAGCGGUGAAAUGCGCAGAUAUCAGGAGGAACACCGGUGGCGAAGGCGGGUCUCUGGGCCGUAACUGACGCUGAGGAGCGAAAGCAUGGGGAGCGAACAGG
rnacentral:rRNA from 1 species